CAUAUAGGUUUGGUCCUGGCCUUUCUAUUAGUUAUUAGUGAACUUACACAUGCAAGAAUCCCCAUUCCUGUGAAAAUGCCCUCUAAGCCAUCCACUGACGUAAAGGAGCUGGUAUCAAGCACACUAAAAGUAGCUCAUAACACCUUGCUUAGCCACACCCCCACGGGAAACAGCAGUGACAAAAAUUAAGCAAUGGACGAAAGUCCGACUAAGUUACACUAUAGAGGACUGGUAAAUUUCGUGCCAGCCACCGCGGUCAUACGAUUAGGCCAAACUAAUAGACGUUCGGCGUAAAGGGUGUUUUAGAAUUUAAAUAAAGCAAUAAAGUCAAACUCUGAUUAUGCUGUAAAAAGCUCCAAUCAAUGUAAGACAAAUAACGAAAGUGACUUUAAAAAAUCUGAUUACACGAUAGCUAGGGUCCAAACUGGGAUUAGAUACCCCACUAUGCCUAGCCCUAAACAUAAAAAAUUAUAAACAAAAUUAUUCGCCAGAGUACUACUAGCAAAAGCUAAAAACUCAAAGGACUUGGCGGUGCCUUAUACCCCUCUAGAGGAGCCUGUUCUAUAAUCGAUAAACCCCGAUAUACCUCACCAGCCUUUGCUAAGUCAGCCUAUAUACCGCCAUCUUCAGCAAACUCUAAAAGAUGCAUAGUAAGCAUAAUAUUAACAUAAAACGUUAGGUCAAGG
rnacentral:rRNA from 1 species